rnacentral:rRNA from 1 species
AAGAGUGAACGCUGGCGGUAGGCCUAACACAUGCAAGUCGAACGGCAGCACAGUGGUAGCAAUACCAUGGGUGGCGAGUGGCGGACGGGUGAGGAAUACAUCGGAAUCUACCUUUUCGUGGGGGAUAACGUAGGGAAACUUACGCUAAUACCGCAUACGCCCUUCGGGGGAAAGCCGGGGAUCGCAAGACCUGGCGCGGAUAGAUGAGCCGAUGUCGGAUUAGCUAGUUGGUGAGGUAAUGGCUCAUCAAGGCGACGAUCCGUAGCUGGUCUGAGAGGAUUUGAUCAGCCACACUGGAACUGAGACACGGUCCAGACUCCGUACGGGAGGCAGCAGUGGGAAUAUUGGACAAGUGGGCGCGAACGCCUGAUCCACGCCACUACCGCGUGUGUGAAGAAGUCGUU